UACGUAGGGCGCAAGCGUUGUCCGGAAUCACUGGGCGUAAAGGGCGCGUAGGCGGCGUUUUAAGUCGGGGGUGAAAGCCUGUGGCUCAACCACAGAAUGGCCUCGAUACUGGGACGCUUGAGUAUGGUAGAGGUUGGUGGAACUGCGAGUGUAGAGGUGAAAUUCGUAGAUAUUCGCAAGAACACCGGUGGCGAAGGCGGCCAACUGGACCAUUACUGACGCUGAGGCGCGAAAGCGUGGGGAGCAAACAGG
rnacentral:rRNA from 1 species